GGCCGGACCACCUUUACCCGCUGCAUAUCGUGAUGGGGGCUGCUGGUGCGGACGCUAAGGCUAAGCAAAUCCACGACAGCUGGGACCUUGGUGCUGUUUCGUAUGCAGCCUACCAGUUUACAUCACCUUGAACUUGAGCUUGAGCUUGAUCUUGAACUACCAGUUGCCGCUGAUUAACUAUAUCUGUCAAAUAAAUUGCUGUUAUAUUAUGAAUUUCAUAAAAUAAUAUUAUGUUGUGAACGAAUUCAUUGAAUGUGUAUUAGUGAAUAUUGUAUUGUAUUCAAGACUAAUGAGAGAUUGUUUUCCUGUUUAA
rnacentral:lncRNA from 1 species